CCUACGGGAGGCAGCAGUGAGGAAUAUUGGUCAAUGGGCGGGAGCCUGAACCAGCCAAGUAGCGUGAAGGAUGACAGCCCUAUGGGUUUUAAACUUCUUUUAUAAGGGAAUAAAGUGCCCCACGUGUGGGGUUUUGUAUGUACCUUAUGAAUAAGCAUCGGCUAAUUCCGUGCCAGCAACCGCGGUAAUACGGAAGAUGCGAGCGUUAUCCGGAUUUAUUGGGUUUAAAGGGAGCGUAGAUGGGUUGUUAAGUCAGUUGUGAAAGUUUGCGGCUCAACCGUAAAAUUGCAAUUGAUACUGGCAGUCUUGAGUACAGUUGAGGUAGGCGGAAUUCGUGGUGUAGCGGUGAAAUGCUUAGAUAUCACGAAGAACUCCGAUUGCGAAGGCAGCUUACUAAACUGCCACUGACAUUGAUGCUCGAAAGUGUGGGUAUCAAACAGGAUUAGAUACCCUGGUAGUC
rnacentral:rRNA from 1 species